AACGAACGCUGGCGGCAGGCUUAACACAUGCAAGUCGAACGGGUGUAGCAAUACAUCGGUGGCAGACGGGUGAGUAACACGUGGGAACCUUCCUAGGGGUACGGAACAACCCAGGGAAACUUGAGCUAAUACCGUAUACGUCCGUGAGGAGAAAGAUUUAUCGCCCUUAGACGGGCCCGCGUCGGAUUAGCUAGUUGGUGGGGUAACGGCCUACCAAGGCGACGAUCCGUAGCUGAUCUUAGAGGAUGAUCAGCCACACUGGGACUGAGACACGGCCCAGACUCCUACGGGAGGCAGCAGUGGGGAAUCUUGGACAAUGGGCGCAAGCCUGAUCCAGCCAUGCCGCGUGAGUGAAGAAGGUCUUCGGAUUGUAAAGCUCUUUUGCCAGGGACGAUAAUGACGGUACCUGGAGAAUAAGCCCCGGCAAACUUCGUGCCAGCCGCCGCAGUAA
rnacentral:rRNA from 1 species